rnacentral:rRNA from 1 species
UACGUAGGUGGCAAGCGUUGUCCGGAAUUACUGGGCGUAAAGAGCGCGCAGGCGGCUGGUCAAGUCCGAUGUGAAAGCUUCCGGCUUAACUGGGAAAUUGCAUCGGAAGCUGAUCGGCUUGAAGGUGGGAGAGGGUAGUGGAAUUCCCGGUGUAGUGGUGAAAUGCGUAGAUAUCGGGAGGAACACCAGUGGCGAAGGCGACUACCUGGCCCACUCUUGACGCUGAGGCGCGAAAGCUAGGGGAGCGAACGGG